UGGGUGUUUGUGAGAGAAGAGUACAUCCCCGGAAGAGCAAGGCGAAUCCAGCAACUAGGAAACAACAAUACCUCACAAGCCUAGGAAAGCCGCCUACCGGAUGGUGAAGAAAUGCCAGUGAAGGGACAAAUGCCAAAUGGCAGAAGAAGGAGAAUCUUCACUAACGAGCUCCAGAACAAAAUGAAGCUUCCUCGUCUUCACUAACGUGAAGGUAAAGUACCGGUAGUGAAAAUGCUCACUCUGUUGGUGGAGCCACUUCAUAUCUAGCAAAUUCAUUUUUGACCUCUAUUUUCAUCAGCUUCAGCUUCUGUUCAUAUUUUUUUUUUCAGCCAAACAUUUUUUCUUGAUUACUAAUUAGUUUAUUUAAAAUCUUAACAAGUGUGUGACACAUUCUUCCUUAAUACCACAGCUUCUAUGUCACAGGUUUGUGCUUUGUAAUUACACGAUUUUCCCAAUGACAUCACACAGCUUGCCGGCGAGUACUGAUGCUUUUGCCUGUUAUUCAUCAUUCUUGAUCUGUCUUAACUAAAAUAAAUACUCUUAUGUGCUAACUUACAGUUAGUGAUUUUUAGCUGUCAUGUGGUUGAAUUUAAAUUAGAUUUGCUAACUUACUUUAAUUGUGCAUUAAUGCAAGCUUACAGAAGGACAAGACCCUUCAAUUAGUGUGUAUGGGAGAGUUCAGUGUCUUGGUUUCUCCUUUGGUGUUUGUGUUAGUAAAGCUACAAGCCUGUUAUGGCCCUAUAAAUAACAGUUUUAUUGCAUGUGGAAUUUUAAUGCCUUUUACAAAACUGCUCUGACGGAUUUCACAUCUGCCAUAACAUGCUUGAACCUAAUGGAAAAGGAUGGAUACAGUUAAAGCCAGAUUUUUUCAAAUGCCAUGUAAGGGACACAAUCUUUUUCUUCCUUGCUGUCUGACAUUAAAUCAGAUGAAA